rnacentral:rRNA from 1 species
UACGGGGGGAGCAAGCGUUGUUCGGAUUUACUGGGCGUAAAGGGCGCGUAGGCGGCCACCGCAAGUCGACUGUGAAAUCUCCGGGCUUAACCCGGAAGGUCAGCCGAUACUGCGGGGCUAGAGUGCAGAAGGGGCAACUGGGAAUUCUCGGUGUAGCGGUGAAAUGCGUAGAUAUCGAGAGGAACACCUGCGGCGAAGGCGGGUUGCUGGGCUGACACGUGACGCUGAGGCGCGAAAGCUAGGGGAGCGAACGGG